AUCUGACUGACAAGUCCCAAAUAGGAUAAAACGUACGUCCUGGAU
rnacentral:hammerhead_ribozyme from 1 species